GACGAACGCUGGCGGCGUGCUUAACACAUGCAAGUCGAACGGUGAAGGGAUCAGCUUGCUGGUUCUGGGUGAGUGGCGAACGGGUGAGUAACACGUGAGUAACCUGCCCCCUUCUUCUGGAUAACCGCAUGAAAGUGUGGCUAAUACGGGAUAUUCUGCGCCUGCUGCAUGGUGGGUGUGGGAAAGAUGUUGUUUCGGUGGGGGAUGGGCUCGCGGCCUAUCAGCUUGUUGGUGGGGUGAUGGCCUACCAAGGCGGUGACGGGGAGCCGGCCUGAGAGGGGGCACGGUCACAACGGGAAUGAGACCCGGACCAGUAUCGUACGGGGCGCAGGAGUGGGGAAUAUUGCAGGCUGGGGGCAAGCCUGAUGAAGCGACGUGGCGUGAGGGAGGGUUGCGUUCGGGAUGUGAACCUCUUGCGCAAGUGAAGCAGGCCUGUCCCUUGUGGGUGGGUUGACGGUAGCUGGAGAAGAAGCGCCGGCUAACUACGUG
rnacentral:rRNA from 1 species